UGGGCUGGGCCUUCUUUAAUACAUCUACAACAUAAAAAAUACUCUAUAAUAAUAAUUUAUUUAACCACACUUUUUUAGUCCCACAUCGAUAGAAUUCAAAAAACACAAAGAAGGUUGGUCUGUAAAUAAAGAUUCAUUUUGUCUAAAACAAAUAUGAAGUCUAAAGAGUGGGAGGAGCUUAUAUUAAAAAUAAUAUAGCUCUUUUCAUGGACCAAUGUAUAAAUUUUUAUGGCUAAAAAUUUAUAAGGUCUUAAAAUAAAAAUUUUUUUGGCCUUUUUUUAAAAUAAAAACAAAAUAAAUAACUUAAAACAGGCCUGGAUCCGGGUCGGAUUUUACCCGGAUCCGAUCCGGAUCCGGCUAAGGGAGAUGCGCUUGGCCCAUAUGCGCGCGCACCCGGAACCUUGAUUAUAACACCCUAUAAUUCAUUGUAACACCAAGGUUUAAAAACCGGUUAACCAUUUAGGGGUAUUUUCGUAAUAAUAUAGUUUUAUAAAUGGCUAGGGUUUCUUUAAACUUAUAAAAGAGAGGCUUUAUAAAAAGAAAAUAAUAAAUAACCCAAGAGGCUUUUAAAAAAUAAUAACGUAAUGGGCUGGGCUAGGCCUUCUUUAAUACAUCUACAACAUAAAAAAUACUCUAUAAUAAUAAUUUAUUUAACUAUACUUUUUUAGUCCCACAUCGAUAGAAUUCAAAAAACACAAAGAAGGUUGGUCUAUAAAUAAAUAUUCAUUUUGUCUAAAACAAAUAUGAAGUCUAAAGAGUGGGAGGAGCUUAUAUUAAAAAUAAUAUAGCUCUUUUCAUGGACCAAUGUAUAAAUUUUUAUGCUAAAAAUUUAUAAGGUCUUAAAAUAAAUUUUUUUUGCCUUUUUUU
rnacentral:lncRNA from 1 species